ACACCUGUUCCCAUUCCGAACACAGAAGUUAA
rnacentral:rRNA from 1 species